rnacentral:rRNA from 1 species
AUUGAACGCUGGCGGCAGGCCUAACACAUGCAAGUCGAGCGGAUGAAGGGAGCUUGCUCCUGGAUUCAGCGGCGGACGGGUGAGUAAUGCCUAGGAAUCUGCCUGGUAGUGGGGGAUAACGUCCGGAAACGGGCGCUAAUACCGCAUACGUCCUGAGGGAGAAAGUGGGGGAUCUUCGGACCUCACGCUAUCAGAUGAGCCUAGGUCGGAUUAGCUAGUUGGUGGGGUAAAGGCCUACCAAGGCGACGAUCCGUAACUGGUCUGAGAGGAUGAUCAGUCACCAGGGAAAUGGGCACGGGUCCAGAACCCGAGGGGGGGCAGGAGGGGGAAAAUUUGGACAAGGGGCGAAAGCCUGAUCCAGCCAGGCCGGGUGUGUGAAGAAGGGCUUCGGAUUGUAAAGCACUUUAAGUUGGGAGGAAGGGCAGUAAGUUAAUACCUUGCUGUUUGGACGUUACCAACAAAAUAAGCCCCGGCUAAUUUCGU